GGGCGCGUAGCUCAGCGGUAGAGCUCUGGUUUUACACACCAGCGGUCGGCGGUUCGAUCCCGUCCGCGCCCACCG
rnacentral:tRNA from 1675 species